rnacentral:rRNA from 1 species
AUGGCCGAAUGCUUCAAUAGGGUGCUCAAAGGUGCACGUGGAUUACCCGUGACGGCAAUAGUUCAAUACACAUUUGACAAGAUGAAUGCGUACUUUGUAAAGUACUCGAUGGAAACCGAUGCACAGAUAGCGGGUGAGAACCCACGGAAGUACAAGUACAAGUUCCCACCCAAAGUUGAUGAAUGGUUGGUAUUUCAAUCACGGAAGGCGGACUCAGAAGAAACUAUAUUAUAUGACAACGAAGAGUGGAAGUACGAAGUGAAAGAGCCAGGAGGAACCACAAACGAUGGCCGGCAACAUGGAGGUUGGGCUUUCAAGGUGUCGUUAACACAAUGUGAUUGCACUUGCGGGAGGCCAUUGUUGCUUCAUCUCCCAUGCUCACAUUUGUAUGCCGCCGGUCGCGUUAGGAAUGUGGACAUCAAUCACCCACGCACCGUGAGGGAGUCGGAGUUCUCAAUCAUGACGGUCAAGAAAACAUGGGCUCCCCGCUUUCACCCAUACUUUGACCAAUCACAAUGGCCGGAGUAUCAUGGAGUUCAACUAUGGCCGGAUCCGGAGUUGAAGGUUGUUAAACGGGGUAGACGUAAGACAAAGCGUCUUAGAGGCGACAUGGACGGAUGGGGCCAUGGUGGGCGCCGCGAAGCGGGCAACGACCAAUUCCAAGAGCCUCGUGAGAGCUCCCGUUGUGGGGAGUGCAAAGGUCAUGGCCACAACAAAAGAAAAUGUACGAAACAAAGGAAAAGGUCCAAGAAAAAUGAUGCAAGCACAAGCCAACAAGGAGCUACACAAGGGAGCCAACCAAGUGGUAGCCAACCAAGUGGUAGCCAACCUAGUGGUAGCCAACCUAGUGGUAGCCAACAAGUGCCAAGCCAACCAAGUGGUAGCCAACCUAGUGGUAGCCAACAAGUGCCAAGACAACCAAGUGGUAGCCAACAAGUGCCUAGCCAACCAAGUGUUAGCCAAAGAGGAUCUAGGCAACAAAGAGGCCGGCACAACUUGGACUUACAAGAGGCCGUGGUGGUGGUAGAGGUGGUGGUGGUGGUCUAG